UACGUAGGGUGCAAGCGUUAAUCGGAAUUACUGGGCGUAAAGCGUGCGUAGACGGUUAUUUAAGUCGGGUGUGAAAGCCCCGGGCUCAACCUGGGAAUUGCAUUCGAGACUGAAUAGCUAGGGUACGGUAGAGGGAAGUGGAAUUCCGGUGUAGCGGUGAAAUGCGUAGAUAUCGGAAGGAACAUCAGUGGCGAAAGCGACUUCCUGGACCAGUACCGACGUCAGGCACGAAAGCGUGGGGAGCAAACAGG
rnacentral:rRNA from 1 species